UGACAGACCUGCCCAGCUACCGCAAGUACCUGGGUGAUCUGUUGCUGGCACUGCCGCACGUGCGC
rnacentral:tRNA from 1 species